rnacentral:rRNA from 1 species
CCUACGGGUGGCAGCAGUGAGGAAUAUUGGUCAAUGGGCGGUAGCCUGAACCAGCCAAGUCGCGUGCAGGAUGACGGCCCUACGGGUUGUAAACUGCUUUUGUACGGGGAUAAAAUGCCCUACGUGUAGGGCUUUGCAUGUACCGUACGAAUAAGGAUCGGCUAACUCCGUGCCAGCAGCCGCGGUAAUACGGAGGAUCCGAGCGUUAUCCGGAUUUAUUGGGUUUAAAGGGUGCGUAGGUUGGUCGAUAAGUCAGCUGUGAAAUAUCGCUGCUCAACCGGGGACCUGCAGGUGAUACUGGAAGCCUAGAGUACAGAAGAGGCAGGCGGAAUUCGUGGUGUAGCGGUGAAAUGCAUAGAUAUCACGAAGAACCCCGAUUGCGAAGGCAGCCUGCUGGGCUGGAACUGACGCUGAUGCUCGAAAGUGUGGGGAUCAAACAGGAUUAGAUACCCGUGUAGUC